rnacentral:misc_RNA from 1 species
GUAAGUAGUUCAAUAAUCAUUAUAAUUAUUGUCACUUGGUUGUUGCAAAGUUAUUAUGCCCGUCAAUUUCAUAUGAAAAAACAUGCAUGAGAACUAUAAUUAAAGAGUAAAUUUUAUGAGGUUUCAACCUAUAGCCCAUCAAUUGAAGAGUAAUUUUGAUGCUUAUCAUGACCUAGUAAGCUAUGUGCCUAGAUAAAGAGGAAUUUUUAAAUUUCUGUAUAUUUUGUCAUGAAAUGUUGGAAAGAAUUCACUGAUUAAGGUUUCUUAAAAAUGUAAUUUGGCACUGUAAUCUCUACACCUCAGGCUUCACGAACUCAAAAAGUAUUUGAUAAUUAUUUUUUAACGUUAAUACACUCAAUUUAAGUUAGAUUUUACUUAGCUAGGUACCUUAAUUCUUGUCUUAUGGUUGAUUAGGGGUGUAGAAAGAGAUGAUUCUCUUUAUUUCAAUUAAUCUGUACAUGGG